rnacentral:rRNA from 1 species
UACGUAGGGUGCGAGCGUUGUCCGGAAUUAUUGGGCGUAAAGGGCUCGUAGGCGGUUUGUCGCGUCGGGAGUGAAAACCUUGGGCUUAACUCAGGGCUUGCUUUCGAUACGGGCAGACUAGAGGUAUGCAGGGGAGAACGGAAUUCCUGGUGUAGCGGUGACAUGCGCAGAUAUCAGGAGGAACACCGGUGGCGAAGGCGGUUCUCUGGGCAUGAUCUGACGCUGAGGAGCGAAAGUGUGGGGAGCGAACAGG